rnacentral:rRNA from 1 species
UACGAAGGGGGCUAGCGUUGCUCGGAAUCACUGGGCGUAAAGGGUGCGUAGGCGGGUCUUUAAGUCAGGGGUGAAAUCCUGGAGCUCAACUCCAGAACUGCCUUUGAUACUGAGGAUCUUGAGUUCGGGAGAGGUGAGUGGAACUGCGAGUGUAGAGGUGAAAUUCGUAGAUAUUCGGCGGAACACCAGUGGCGAAGGCGACUCACUGGCCCGAUACUGACGCUGAGGCGCGAAAGCGUGGGGAGCAAACAGG